UACAGAGUUCUCAAGCGUUGUUCGGAUUCAUUGGGCGUAAAGGGUGCGUAGGCGGCGCGGUAAGUCGGGUGUGAAAUCUCGGAGCUUAACUCCGAAACUGCAUUCGAUACUGCCGUGCUUGAGGACUGGAGAGGAGACUGGAAUUUACGGUGUAGCGGUGAAAUGCGUAGAUAUCGUAAGGAAGACCAGUGGCGAAGGCGGGUCUCUGGACAGUUCCUGACGCUGAGGAGCGAAAGCGUGGGGAGCGAACAGG
rnacentral:rRNA from 1 species